AUUUAUAUAGUAUAAAAAUUAUUUUUAACUUCCAAUUAAAAGAUUUAACUUAGUUAAUAUAAAUA
rnacentral:tRNA from 1 species